rnacentral:rRNA from 1 species
GACGAACGCUGGCGGCGUGCCUAAUACAUGCAAGUCGAACGCAGUUGCGAACGGGUGAGUAACGCGUAGGUAACUGCCUCAUAGCGGGGGAUAACUAUUGGAAACGAUAGCUAAUACCGCCUACUGUGAGAUGGACCUGCGUUGUAUUAGCUAGUUGGUGAGGUAAAGGCUCACCAAGGCGACGAUACAUAGCCGACCUGAGAGGGUGGACGGGCACACUGGGAACUAGGCACCGGCCAAGACUCUUCGGGGAGCAGCAAGAGGGGAUCUUCGGCAAAGGGCGGAAGUCUUAACGAGGAACGCCGCGUGAGUUGAGAAGGGUUUCGGGUCGUAAAGCUCUGUUGUUAGAGGAGCGGUAACUAACCAGAAAGGGACGGCUAACUACGUGCCAGCAGCCGCGGUAAUAC